GAGUUUGAUCAGGGCUCAGAUUGAACGCUGGCGGUAUGCUUAACACAUGCAAGUCGAACGGUAACAGGACUAGCUUGCUAGAUGCUGACGAGUGGCGGACGGGUGAGUAAUGCAUAGGAAUCUACCUUGUAGCGGGGGACAACCUGGGGAAAACCAGGCUAAUACCCCACGCAUAAUCCCUACGUGGCAAAGCAGGGGACCUUCGGGCCUUGCACUAUUAGAUGAGCCUAUGUCGGAUUAGCUAGUUGGUGAGGUAAUGGCUCACCAAGGCGACGAUCCGUAGCUGGUUUGAGAGGAUGAUCAGCCACACUGGGACUGAGACACGGCCCAGACUCCUACGGGAGGCAGCAGUGGGGAAUAUUGCACAAUGGACGAAAGUCUGAUGCAGCAAUGCCGCGUGUGUGAAGAAGGCCUUAGGGUCGUAAAACUCUUUCGCCAGAGAUGAUAAUGACAGUAUCUGGUAAAGAAACCCCGGCUAACUCCGUGCCAGCAGCCGCGGUAAUACGGAGGGGGUUAGCGUUGUUCGGAAUUACUGGGCGUAAAGCGCACGUAGGCGGAUUAGUAAGUUAGGGGUGAAAUCCCAGGGCUCAACCCUGGAACUGCCUCUAAAACUGCUAGUCUUGAGUUCGAGAGAGGUGAGUGGUAUUCCAAGUGUAGAGGUGAAAUUCGUAGAUAUUAGGAAGAACACCGAUUGCGAAGGCAGCUUACUAAGCUAAAACUGACGCUCAGGCACGAAAGCGUGGGGAUCAAACAGGAUUAGAUACCCUGGUAGUCCACGCUGUAAACGAUGAUCACUCGUUGUUGGCGAUACACAGUCAGCGACUGAACGAAAGUAUUAAGUGAUCCACCUGGGAAGUACGAUCGCAAGGUUGAAACUCAAAGGAAUUGACGGGGGCCCGCACAAGCGGUGGAGCAUGUGGUUUAAUUCGAUGAUACGCGAGGAACCUUACCUGGGCUUAAAUGUUUAAUGACCGUCCCCGAAAGGGGAUUUUCCUUCAGGACAUUUUACAAGGUGCUGCAUGGUUGUCGUCAACUCGUGCCGUGAGGUGUCGGGUUAAGUCCCAUAACGAGCGCAACCCCUAUUCUUAGUUGCCAUCAGGUAAUGCUGGGGACUCUAAGGAACUGCCUACGCAAGUAGUGAGGAAGGUGGGGAUGACGUCAAAUCAUCAUGGCCCUUACGCCCAGGGCUACACACGUGCUACAAUGGAAAGUACAGAUGGUUGCUGCUCUGGUGACAGGAUGCUAAUCUCGAAAGCUGGUCUCAGUUCGGAUUGGAGUCUGCAACUCGACCUCAUGAAGCCGGAAUCGCUAGUAAUCGCGUAUCAGCAAUGACGCGGUGAAUACGUUCCCGGGCCUUGUACACACCGCCCGUCAAGCCAUGGAAGUUGGGAGUGCCUAAAGUCGGAAACCAUAUAGGAUCCGCCUAGGGUAAAACCGAUAACUAGGGCUAAGUCGUAACAAGGUAACC
rnacentral:rRNA from 1 species